rnacentral:lncRNA from 1 species
UUAUACAUCAUUCCAUCAACCUCUGAAUCGAAGAACUAGAGCUUCUGCAGAAGUUGCUGCUGCUGGAUUGAGGUUCUGUUUGUGCUUCUGUUUGACAGAUGAUGAUAGGGUUAUGCAUCUUAAACUGGUUGCGAUUGUAAAAGAAUGGCACCUGUUAAUCAUCCAGAGGUAGAAAGAAAUAUUCCAAAAAGUUCUCUGCUUUGCAUCAUCAUCACCAAAAUCUUUGUGAUUUAAUCUUUGGGGUUCUUGUUCUUCAUCAUUAUCAUCGUAUUAUUAUUAUUAUUAUUAUUGUUAAAUGUUAAUAUCGAUCUGGGUCACCGACUGCUUUGUGGGUUCUCUAUUUCAUUGAUGAGAAGAAUAUCCAUUGGGGUUUAUUGGGAUUCACCAUUCAGCAAGAAGUCGUAGAACAACGGCAGAGAGAGGUGGGUGGGGAGGAGAGAGAAGCGGCGGAGAGAAGGGGUAGAGAAGGUAGAGGAGAGAGAGGAAACCAUAGUGGUGGUUAUAGUGGAAGUGGAUGAAGGAGAUGGGUAGAUAAGGAGUGUGUUUAUUUAUAUAUAUUUUUAUUUUAAUUAAUUUAGUUUUAGUGUAAAAUUACCAACUUACCCUCAUGUGCAAGGCACAUGUCAUACUUAACUGAAAAUUUUGACAAGGUUAGUGUUAAAGGACGUAAGGUGUAAUGUGUUUUACAAAUAAAGGAUUGUGACUGUA